rnacentral:rRNA from 1 species
GAUGAACGCUGGCGGCGUGCCUAAUACAUGCAAGUCGAGCGAAUAGACGAGGAGCUUGCUCCUUCGACGUUAGCGGCGGACGGGUGAGUAACACGUAGGUAACCUACCUAUAAGACUGGGAUAACUUCGGGAAACCGGAGCUAAUACCGGAUAAUAUUUCGAACCGCAUGGUUCGAUAGUGAAAGAUGGCUUUGCUAUCACUUAUAGAUGGACCUGCGCCGUAUUAGCUAGUUGGUAAGGUAACGGCUUACCAAGGCAACGAUACGUAGCCGACCUGAGAGGGGGAUCGGCCACACUGGAACUGAGACACGGUCCAGACUCCUACGGGAGGCAGCAGUAGGGAAUCUUCCGCAAUGGGCGAAAGCCUGACGGAGCAACGCCGCGUGAGUGAUGAAGGUCUUCGGAUCGUAAAACUCUGUUAUUAGGGAAGAACAAACGUGUAAGUAACUGUGCACGUCUUGACGGUACCUAAUCAGAAAGCCACGGCUAACUACGUG